rnacentral:rRNA from 1 species
GGNUUGCGCUGCCUACCGUGCAGUCGAGUCGUAGAGUUGAUCUGCAGUUGCCUCCGGCGCACGGGUGCGUGACGCGUGCGCAUUCUGCCUUCCUGUGAGGGAUAUCCCAUAGAGAUUUGGAUUAAUACCUCAUAACAGGUUGUUCCGGCAUUUCUAUGAAUUAAAAUUCCGACGAGGGAAAAUGAGCUUGCCGUUAAUUCGGGUGCGCCGAUGUAACGUUUUACCGAAGGAUAACUGGCUACGGGUUGACUAAGGGAGAUCCGAUACAGUGGGGCUGGCGCCCGGACCAGACUCUAACCGGAGGCAGCACUGAGGAAUAUUGGUCAAUGGGCGCAAGCCUGAACCAGCCAUGCCGCGUGAAGGAUGACGGUCCUAUGGAUUGUAAACUGCUUUUGUACGGGAAGAAACACUCCUACGUGUAAGAGCCUGACGGUACCGUAAGAAUAAGGAUCGGCUAACUCCGUGCCAGCACCCGGCUUAAUACGGACGAUCCAAGCGUUAUCCGCAAUCAUUGCAUUUAAAGGGUCUGUAUUGCUGUCUUGUAAGUCAGUGGUGAAAGCCAAUCACUCAGGGUGUGAACGCCCAUGGAUCCUGCAUGACUUGAACUCUUGACAACCUACUUUAAUUUCUACUGAAGCGAUGAAAGGUUCACAUAUUACAUGGAAAAGCCAUUACAAUGCAGGAUGCUACCGAUGGAUUGACACUUAUGACAAACCUGACUAUCAAACAGGAAUACAUGCCCUGGAAGUCGCUCGUAACCGAGGAUACCAGCUGUGACGACAACUGCUUGUCUAGCGAAUUGAUACCCAUCCCAGCCUGAGUGACCAAUUACAGUUUGAACUGAGAGGUACUGUCCGGGACUCAAACACAGUGGAUCAUGGGGAUCACUCCAUCAUC